GCCGGUUUAGCUCAGCUGGAAGCAGCAUCCGCCUUGUAAGCGGGAGGUCGUCAGUUCGAGUCUGACAACCGGCACCA
rnacentral:tRNA from 1 species